GGCCUAUUAGCUCAGUUGGUUAGAGCGUCGUGCUAAUAAUGUGAAAGUCGCAAGUUAAAGAUUUGCAUGCACCA